AUGGACUUGGGAAGAAGCUGGCCCGAGGGCCCAGGACAGCCUCUUGUCUCGAAUGCCCAGGUGCUGGGAUCUCACUGCUCGGCUUGGACAUGCCUCUCGCCCUGCCUGGCUGUGGGGGACAAACAGCCGGGUGGUGGGUGUUGUGUUCAUGCCUGUGUGGAGGAUGUGGUGGCUGGUCUGCACAGUUCUGAGCGCUCGUGCCGUGCAAAUGAGUGUCUGAGCUUGGAGAGCCAGCCUCCACACUGGGCUUCCUGAGGCCGGGAGGAUGCCCGCCAGCCCCUGAGGAUCCGAGGAGGUCUGGGAGCUGGCUUUGAACUUCUGCCCACGCUGGAACUUGAGGAGAAGAGGGAGAUGUGAGUCAGGUUUUCCUAGUUCCUGAGGGCCUGGGAGGCCUUGGCUGGCAUCCAUCUGACUGUUCUGAUCCAGAUUCUGGUACUCGAGUGAGCUAGGCCACAGGAGCAGCCAAUGUCCCUGCUGUCCCUGAAGGCCGCAUGGGAAGCACCUGGGACUGGGGCUCAGGCUUUCCAGAGUGAAGGGGGUGCCUUUGCCUGCCAACCUCCUGGCUUUAAAGUACACCCCAGACAUCCCCAGACUCCCAGAAUGAGCUCGAGUUCCUGCACCUGCCAUGAGCCCUGGAAACACCUCUGCCUUCCAGGAUGACCCACUCCCAGUUUUCCCAAUUACCUUUCACACUUCCUCUUUGGGCAUGGAAUUUGAUUUUGAGGCUGAGCAGGUGGCUGGAGACAUAGAACAUAAUGUAUCAUGACUUGGGAGUUGACUGGCUUAUCCUGGAAAUCACUGUUCUCCCUCCUCGAGAAGAGGUCCCUUGGCCAGGUCACUUUGAUCUUGCCCUGUGUUGAAAUCAGAUGGCCCCUGGCUCGUGGGCGCUGGAACCAGGGGGCAGUUUCAGGGUGAGUCAGGAAUGCUGGGGGUGGGGAUGAAUGGGCUGUGCUGUCAGCCUUGUUUUCCUGUUGGGAGAGAGAGCAAAAAAGGAGGGGGACAAGAGAGAAUGAUACCAAGGAGGCGCCUGGGUAGCUGAUGAGCUCAGCCCCAGGGUGACUGCAGUCAUUUGGCACUGGGGACAGACACCAGCCCUGGCUGGGAGGUGGGUCAUUUAUGGCCUGGGUCUCCCCCCUCCUCCCUCCUCCUUCUCUCCAACCUGCUUUCCUGCUGCCAGAAGUGGGUGU
rnacentral:lncRNA from 13 species